rnacentral:rRNA from 1 species
AUACGUAGGAGGCGAGCGUUGUCCGGAUUUACUGGGCGUAAAGGGCGUGUAGGCGGUUCAGGAAGUCCCUGGUGAAAUCUCCCAGCUUAACUGGGAUAGGUCUGAGGAUACUCCUGAACUUGAGGGCAGUAGAGGAGAGUGGAAUUCCCGGUGGAGUGGUGAAAUGCGUAGAUAUCGGGAGGAACACCCGUGGCGAAGGCGGCUCUCUGGGCUGUCCCUGACGCUGAGGCGCGAAAGCGUGGGGAGCAAACCGGAUUAGAAACCCCAGUAGUCC